rnacentral:rRNA from 1 species
CCUACGGGGGGCAGCAGUAGGGAAUCUUCCACAAUGGGCGAAAGCCUGAUGGAGCAACGCCGCGUGGGUGAAGAAGGUCUUCGGAUCGUCAAACCCUGUUGUUAGAGAAGAAAGUGCGUGAGAGUAACUGUUCACGUUUCGACGGUAUCUAACCAGAAAGCAACGGCUAACUACGUGCCAGCAGCCGCGGUAAUACGUAGGUGGCACGCGUUAUCCGGAUUUAUUGGGCGUAAAGGGAACGCAGGCGGUCUUUUAAGUCUGAUUUGAAAGCCUUCGGCUUAACCGGAGUAGUGCAUUGGAAGCUGGGAGACUUGAGUGCAGAAGAGGAGAGUGGAACUCCAUGUGUAGCGGUGAAAGGCGUAGAUAUAUGGAAGAACACCAGUGGCGAAAGCGGCUCUCUGGUCUGUAACUGACGCUGAGGUUCGAAAGCGUGGGUAGCAAACAGGAUUAGAUACCCUGGUAGUC